AGCAGCCGCGGUAAUUCCAGCUCCAAUAGCGUAUAUUAAAGUUGUUGCAGUUAAAAAGCUCGUAGUUGAAUUUCGAGAUCAGUACGCUGGUCGUGCCUUCGGUAUGCACUGGUGUCACUGGUUUCUCCCUUCUGAAGAACCGUCAUGCCAUUCAGUUGGUGUGGCGGGGAAUCAGGACUGUUACUUUGAAAAAAUUGAGUGUUUAAAGCAGGCUCGCGCUUGAAUACAUUAGCAUGGAAUAAUGAAAUAGGACGUUUGACCCUAUUUUGUUGGUUUCUAGGAUCGACGUAAUGAUUAAUAGGGAUAGUUGGGGGCAUUAGUAUUCAAUUGUCAGAGGUGAAAUUCUUGGAUUUAUUGAAGACUAACUACUGCGAAAGCAUUUGCCAAGGAUGUUUUCAUUAAUCAAGAACGAAAGUUAGGGGAUCGAAGACGAUCAGAUACCGUCGUAGUCUUAACCAUAAACUAUGCCG
rnacentral:rRNA from 1 species